rnacentral:rRNA from 1 species
CCUACGGGCGGCUGCAGUGGGGAAUAUUGCACAAUGGGCGCAAGCCUGAUGCAGCCAUGCCGCGUGUGUGAAGAAGGCCUUCGGGUUGUAAAGCACUUUCAGCGGGGAGGAAGGCGUUAAGGUUAAUAACCUUGUCGAUUGACGUUACCCGCAGAAGAAGCACCGGCUAACUCCGUGCCAGCAGCCGCGGUAAUACGGAGGGUGCAAGCGUUAAUCGGAAUUACUGGGCGUAAAGCGCACGCAGGCGGUCUGUCAAGCCGGAUGUGAAAUCCCCGGGCUCAACCUGGGAACUGCAUUCGAAACUGGCAGGCUAGAGUCUUGUAGAGGGGGGUAGAAUUCCAGGUGUAGCGGUGAAAUGCGUAGAGAUCUGGAGGAAUACCGGUGGCGAAGGCGGCCCCCUGGACAAAGACUGACGCUCAGGUGCGAAAGCGUGGGGAGCAAACAGGAUUAGAUACCCUAGUAGUC